UCAUCUCUAUAAUUUUCUCUCUCUUCCCACUUUUUCUUCUCUCCUUCACGCAGCCCCUCUCUAUCUCCUCUCCCCUUCUCUCUCCUCUGUGAAUUCAAAAAUUCUUCUUCUUCCCUCAUUUUCUCUUUCUUUUUUCUCUAUUUUCUCCCAUUUAUUUCUCCAUUUCCGGCCUCCGACCACCGAAUUCAGCCCACGGCCGCCCAUGUCUGCCCACCUGACCGUCUUUACAGCGGAGAUCCGUCCACCUCCGGCCUCCGACCACCUGAUUCAACCCACCGCCGCCCAGAUCUGGCCACGAAACGACCGAGAUCAGUCCACCAUUAUACUUUUUUUGACAAAAAUCGGGGUCAUUAACCGGUUCGCCGGUUUUCGGGUUUUACCCGGGUGAACCGGGUUUCGAUCAUUUGACCCCGGUUUUAGAUUUUCCCGGUUUUGAAGCCCAAACCGGACCGCCUCAUCGCCGGGUCGCGGUUGAACCGGUCCGACCGGCCGGUCCGGUCCGGUUCUUACAACAUUGC
rnacentral:lncRNA from 1 species